rnacentral:rRNA from 1 species
GACGAACGCUGGCGGCGUGCCUAAUACAUGCAAGUAGAACGCUGAAGGAGGAGCUUGCUUCUCUGGAUGAGUUGCGAACGGGUGAGUAACGCGUAGGUAACCUGCCUGGUAGCGGGGGAUAACUAUUGGAAACGAUAGCUAAUACCGCAUAAUAGCAGUUGUUGCAUGACAACUGUUUGAAAGGUGCAAUUGCACCACUACCAGAUGGACCUGCGUUGUAUUAGCUAGUUGGUGGGGUAACGGCUCACCAAGGCGACGAUACAUAGCCGACCUGCGAGGGGGAUCGGCCACGCUGGGACUGGUACACGGCCCAGACUCCUACGGGAGGCAGCAGUAGGGAAUCUUCGGCAAUGGACGGAAGGCUGACCGUGCAACGCCGCGUGAGUGAAGAAGGUUUUCGGAUCGUAAAGCUCUGUUGUAAGAGAAGGACGAGUGUGAGAGUGGAAAGUUCACACUGUGACGGUAUCUUACCAGAAAGGGACGGCUAACUACGUG